rnacentral:rRNA from 1 species
AUUGAACGCUGGCGGCAUGCCUUACACAUGCAAGUCGAACGGCAGCACGGGGCAACCUGGUGGCGAGUGGCGAACGGGUGAGUAAUGCAUCGGAACGUACCUUUCAGUGGGGGAUAACGUAGCGAAAGUUACGCUAAUACCGCAUAUUCUGUGAGCAGGAAAGCAGGGGAUCGCAAGACCUUGCGCUGAUUGAGCGGCCGAUGUCAGAUUAGCUAGUUGGUGAGGUAAAGGCUCACCAAGGCGACGAUCUGUAGCGGGUCUGAGAGGAUGAUCCGCCACACUGGAACUGAGACACGGUCCAUGCUCCUACGGGGGCAGCAGUGGGGAAUUUUGGACAAUGGGGGCAACCCUGAUCCAGCCAUGCCGCGUGAGUGAAGAAGGCCUUCGGGUUGUAAGCUCUUUCGGCCGGGAAGAAAUCGCACGGGCUAAUACCCUGUGUGGAUGACGGUACCGGAAUAAGAAGCACCGGCUAACUACGUGCCAGCCGCCGCCGUAAAAC